CAAAUGUUGACAAAGCAGCCCAACCCGAUGGAGCCACAAAGAGGCCCGGUGAUGGUACUUCUGAGUCACAGUAUUGGAGGUAUGAUGUAUCCAAGAAAAAGCAGAAACAUGGAGAUGGUGGUGGUGACAGACUCUGCUUUAAAUUUGCCUCUUCUGGCUCUUGUCCAAGAGGAAACCAGUGCCAUUUUAGACAUGAUGAAGAGGCUUCAGAACAAUACUCAAG
rnacentral:misc_RNA from 1 species